rnacentral:rRNA from 1 species
GACGAACGCUGGCGGCGUGCUUAACACAUGCAAGUGGAGCGACGAACCAGGGCUUGCCCUGGGGCAGAGCCGCGAACGGGUGAGUAACACGUGGGUUACCUACCCCGAUGACCGGGACAACCCGAGGAAACUCGGGCUAAUACCGGAUGUGGUCUUCGGACGAAAGGAAGCUUCGGCCUCCGCAUCGGGAUGGGCCCGCGGCGCAUUAGCUUGUUGGUGGGGUAACGGCCUACCAAGGCGACGAUGCGUAGCGGUCUGAGAGGACGAUCAGCCACACUGGGACUGAGACACGGCCCAGACUCCUACGGGAGGCAGCAGUGGGGAAUCUUGCGCAAUGCGCGAAAGCGUGACGCAGCAACGCCGCGUGGGGGAAGAAGGCCUUCGU